rnacentral:lncRNA from 1 species
AGAUAUUUUGGUAUAAUAUAGGGCAAAAAUUAUCAAUUGAAGGGGGGCUUGGAUCCACCGUUUCCCAAGGGUGGACUCGCCUCUGCCCAUGCACUUCAUUAUUCUGCAAAUCCCACAACUUCCAGCACACCACUGAAGCCAUUGUUCAGAAAGAAUGAAAGAUGGGAAGUCUCCGUUUAAAACCAGACUAAAUGGGGCUGCCGUCCAAACACUCCCAUCCCGAUAGCUCAACAUAACGUGCAUAAUGGUUUCCCGAUAGGCACCUGAUUUAGCCGAUUUGGCCGCCUCAAUUAAAUUAAUGGCGUGUGAGUAUGUUUAUGGUGUGUAUCCCUGCCUCUCUUUCAUUUCUUCCCUCUGCUUUCUUUUUGCUGAAG